rnacentral:rRNA from 1 species
CAGGCUUAACACAUGCAAGUCGAGGGGCAGCACGAUGUAGCAAUACAUUGGUGGCGACCGGCGCACGGGUGAGUAACGCGUAUGCAACCUACCUAUCAGAGGGGAAUAACCCGGCGAAAGUCGGACUAAUACCGCAUAAAACAGGGGUUCCACAUGGAAAUAUUUGUUAAAGAAUUAUCGCUGAUAGAUGGGCAUGCGUUCCAUUAGAUAGUUGGUGAGGUAACGGCUCACCAAGUCCACGAUGGAUAGGGGUUCUGAGAGGAAGGUCCCCCACACUGGUACUGAGACACGGACCAGACUCCUACGGGAGGCAGCAGUGAGGAAUAUUGGUCAAUGGGCGAGAGCCUGAACCAGCCAAGUCGCGUGAAGGAUGAAGGAUCUAUGGUUUGUAAACUUCUUUUAUAUGGGAAUAAAGUGAGGAACGUGUUCCUUUUUGUAUGUACCAUAUGAAUAAGCAUCGGCUAACUCCGUGCCAGCAGCCGCGGUAAUACGGAGGAUGCGAGCGUUAUCCGGAUUUAUUGGGUUUAAAGGGUGCGUAGGUGGUUAAUUAAGUCAGCGGUGAAAGUUUGUGGCUCAACCAUAAAAUUGCCGUUGAAACUGGUUGACUUGAGUAUAUUUGAGGUAGGCGGAAUGCGUGGUGUAGCGGUGAAAUGCAUAGAUAUCACGCAGAACUCCGAUUGCGAAGGCAGCUUACUAAACUAUAA